GAAUAUGUUGCAUUGCAUAUGUUAAAUGUUGAUGUGGAUGAAUGUUGGAUGAUCCAUAGCCCUCGAUCUAUGAUAUGAUGAUACGAUAUGUACGGUACGGAAAGUAAGACCAGUGGGACCCAUUCUACGUUCGCUGGCACUAUGUAAGGGAAAGACCAGGACCCAUUCUACGUUCUGGCACAGUUGGACACUGUUAUGUUAUGAUAUGUAAGGGAAAGACCAGGACCCAUUCUACGUUCUGGCACAGUUGGACCAUGUAGGGGGCUAUUGGUGACAGGUUCAUCCUUGAUGUGAUUAGCUGUGAUGUGAUGC
rnacentral:lncRNA from 1 species